CUGAUGGGGAACAUCUAUAUCCGCAUCCUGGAUAGAGAUGAACCCUCGCAGGUGGCCAACGCCCCACCAACAACUACCAGCACAUCGGGGGUGGCGUCGUCGGGGUCGGGGCCGUCCACGUCUCUGACGGGGGCGGCUUCGGUCACCGGGACACACGCCCCUAUGGAGGUAGCUACACAUCCACCGUCACCGGUGCAACUAACUUCGGAUGAUGAGUUGUUUCAGGAGACCGGGGGGAGUGAAUUCAGCGACAGCUGUCUGCGCUCCUCCCCAUCGCCGAACUGACCUCAUCCAGGCUAACCUCCAGCACAGUCAGACAGCGUCGGCUUCCCUACGCAGACUGCUGGAGACCAAUCCGAAGACCAUCGCCGCGAUCCAAGAGCCGUGGAUCAGGAAUGGCAAGAUAUGUGGCCUGGGCAGCACCGGUGGUAAACUUUUACUGGAUACCUCCGAACCUUACAGCUAUUAGGUUACACAGAAACAAUCAACCAGACGUCGUCCUGGCGUCCGCCUACUUACCAGGUGACGAGGACGUGCCCACUCCAGAACUCGGCCUUCUGGCUGACUACUGUGAGAGGGAGAAACUGGAGCUAAUCAUCGCGGCGGACUCCAAUGCGCACCACACGUUAUGGGGUAACGCUAGUACCAACACUCGAGGCGCGACAGACAGCCCCCUGUGCAGAGGCUGUUUCAGCGCAGAAGAAACAGUCAC